UCUUCCGGAGAGACUGGCCCGAGUCCUGGACUUGACUCGCAGCCCCGCGCCGCCUGCGGCGGGAAGGGGGCGGCUCCCGCCCCAGGCGGAUCCGGGUGCGCCCCGCGCGGCUGCGCUCGCGCUCCUCCUCGAAGUCACUGGGUCCCGCAGCCCAGGGGGCGGAGGGCAAAGGAUCUCAUGUCGCUGCUGCCGCCACCCCCGAUUCGCAAUGUUUCUGCUUCCCUCCACUCUGUCCCGGGUUCCAGGGCCCUGUCUCUAGGGGCGCCCUGGGUCUUCCAGGAGUGAUCCAGAAGUUUCUUCCUGUCCUGCGUGCGCUGACCAUCGGCCCCGAGGACAGCGAUAAGAUGGCUAAAGGCUCCCGAGGCCAGUGCACUCCCAGAGCCUUGAAGACAGCAGAAGUCCUCUAAGCCCUGUGUGGUGAGAGAGGAUUUCCAGAGGAGUCAUCAGAACUGAGCGUGAAGAAGGGCUGUGUGUGACCCAAUGGAGGAUGCUGAAGAGGGCAUUCGAAGCAGAGAAGAACAUGUGCAAAGCAGGAGACGGGCAGAACAGGAGGGAUUCUAAAACAGCAGGUAACAUUGGAACAUACAGGUGGCAGGUAGGGGAGAAUUUGGAGACUUUUGAAAAGAAUGUGAAAUUGGAGAGUGGGGCUCAGGUAAGUGCUGAAAACAGAUUUGGGAAUAGUUCCCAUACAGAUGGAAGAAGAGACUGCGAAGAAACUCAAUGUUUAUGGGAAUAUGAAUGAUUUCUUCAUAGGAUUCAUACACAGACAUCCAAUAUUUCUGAGCAUGGCAUAAUCCUAUUGUAUACCUCCUUCUGAUAUCUGGAAUACAACCAAUGUAUUCACAUAAUGAUCAUAAGCUAUGUCUACUAACUCUCAUGUAUCAUACCCAGUUGGUUUCUAUUCUAGAACUAUGAGGUCAGUACUUGUGAAAUGUAUAUUGAGGUCUACUAUGAAAUUUGCUUUUAUUCUCUCCACAAACAGAGCUUUUAUGUUUGUGCAAUAAAAGUUCAAGAGAUACAUAUACAUCUGGUUAAAUACUUACUGAGACAUCAAAUAUAAUGUUUAUUAGUUGAAUAUAAUGCACAUAAAUCACAUUUCCAAUAAAAUAUACAUAUGCUUUGGAAAUUAAAGAGACUAUUUUAGCAAUUAUAUAGUGAACUCUUGCUGACCUAACUUGCAAAAUAUUUAGAUAAAAUUAAGUUAUUGUCUGAUUCAUCCAUGUCUAAAAUGAUUUUACCCACAUUAAAAUAAAUCAAUGAGAUCUUUAUAAAAGGUUAUAGAUAGUACCACAAACCUAAUACCAAAAUAACCACUAAUAUAAUCUACUCUGAACCAUCCCUUAGUGAUCCGGAUGUUGCUAUUUUUACUAGGAUACCAGGUUAAACUAGACAUCUGAAAAAGACAUUCUAAUGAGAAAUUCAAAUAGCUCUUGCUACCCCUGGAAAUAUAAGAAUACUCCACCGAAGGACAUAUCCUUUCAUUUUAGGCAGUCCCCAAAGAGAGGUGCUGGUGACUAACUUAAUGACUGGGAAGAUAUUUAUGCUGAGUAUGUCUCAGGAUAUUAUAACAAUAUAUUACAGGAGAAAAGGUCUAUCAAAGUCAAUUCUACCACUUACAUUUUGAAGAAUUUAGACAUUACUAUUUAGAAUUCAUAUUUUAUUUUGUUUUCAAUAAACAAGUACUCUACUAGCCUCUGGACAUAUAACCACUACAAUAUAAUAUUUUAGUAAGGUAUAAACAGAAGUGUUUUCUGAAAAACAAAAUAGGUCAAAUCGCUGAAAGAACUAACUUGGGUUUUAAGAAGAGUUUAAUUUUCCAGGUGCUAUAACUGGAGACCUAUUGAAAUACAGUUUUACUUUCCAUAGGGUUAUUAAUGAAGGGGUAAGGCCCCAGAGACAGGGUGAGUAUCAGUAAAAAGGGCUGAAAGGACAUCAGCAUAGAGGUUCAUAGCUCCACACUACAUGCUGGGAAGGAAAAGGUGAACAGCAG
rnacentral:lncRNA from 1 species